CCUCAGCCUCCUCCUGUGCCUGUAGUCUCGGGAAGACUGAGGAUCCAUGCCCAGCUGUGAAGCAAGUAAUGUGUCCAGGGCUGACCUCCUUGGGACUCACCUGGAUGGGAGCAAGCAUCAGUGGGGCUUCCUGGAGGAGGCAGCUCAGGCUCCACCUGCAGAGGGUGGAGGAUUGGGCUGCAGGGGGAGACACUGGUCAGAGGAAGCUGUGCUGAGAAAAGCCACCGGGGAGCCUGUCAGGGUCCCUUCUUGGGGCCUCAGGUGCUGCAGGAAGAAUGAUUCCAGCUGCCGCGGUGCGGGGAGGGGCCGUUAGUGAUGGGCUUUAAGGCCAAGCCAAGGGGACCAAAGGAGGCACGGAAGCAGGGGAGUCCCUGGGUACCGGACAGCUCCCCAGGCAGACUUGAGGGGGGCAUAGGGCUUGGCAGCCCCAGAAUCUCGAGCAGGUCCCAGCCUCUGCUCUGCCAGCUGCCUCUGCUGGGCAACCUCGGGCAGACCCUUCUUCCCACCUCUGGCUGCGAAGCCUGCCUCACGCCAGGGCCACUUCCCACAGGUGCCUCCCUCCCCACCAGAAAGGACCUAGAACCCCCACCCACGCCCCGUCUGUACUUGAUAGGGAGGCCCCGGACAGCAACGGAUUCACCUGCAGGCGCGGAAAGGAGCAAAGCCCAGUCGGGCUCCUCGCAGGCUGCAGAGGUUGGGGUGCCCCGGCCUCCUUCUUCCCGUGGAGAGGGCUCCAGGAGACGGAGGGGUCUGAGUGGACCACAAGACUUUUGUUUCAUCCAGGAAUGAGGAGGCGGCUGGGCCCCAUGUCCGGGGAGAACAUGUGAACGGAGGAGGCUCCUGGACCAACACCCUCAUCCACCACGCCCACUCCCAGGGCGUAGGUCCCAUCGUCCCCAGGUCCCCUGAGUGUGGAGAGACAUACUGACAUUUUCCAGCAGGAUUGCACCAGGCACCAUGGCAAAACAGGCAAGAUAAUUACGGGGGAUAAGAGAAGCUAAAAAUAGCCUCCUUCCCAGCCCAGACUCUUGGCAGGGAAGACGCCAGACGAACUUGCAGGAGCCCAGGACCUGGGCCCCCGGGCAGGGGCAGCCUGCAGCAGCACCCCUCACCAGGGAGCGUCCGGCAGCGCCAAGGCAGAAAGGAAGAGUCAGGGAUGCCCAAGACACAGCAGCGACACCAGGGGUGGGGUGCGGGGAGGAGAGACAAGGGCAUGGCUUCGGAGGAUGAGUGGAAGCUCACAGGCACUGACCGUUCCCAGAAGAAGGGGUGGAGCAGCUUCGUGGGUUCCAGGGGGCCAUCCAGAGGAGGGAGGUUUCCAGGAAACAAGCAAACAGAAAACAGACGCAAAGGUGCCCCUGUGGAAUGUUGCGUAGGAUGGAGCCCUGCACCGAGGACGGUGAGGAGGAUGAGAGGAAGGGACCACCUGAAAUUCCGGAGAAUAGAGCUCCACCGAGAGAGAUAGAGACAGAGGGUCAAAGAACGGGAGAGCAGCUGGACACUUGCCGUUGGCAUUUUGAGGGGUGCUCCAUGGCUUCUAAUUGGCCAAAUUCUCUUCAGUGUUAAAAUGAUGUAAAAUAUAAAACAUGUUAUUUCUUGACAAAAAUAAUAAUAUUUCAGGUUUGA